CUUUUGGCGCCAUAUUAAUGACGUACUUAAAAUUUGCCAUUUCUCCCUGCGUCAAAAAGACGUUUCUUUGCAAAUAGCCUGAAGGCGACACUCGCGGAGGGAACGAGGUUUGCAUUGAGCACCCCGCCUCCCGGGGCUCCAGCGCUGGAAGACCCCCGCCCUAGGCCCUGCUCCUGGAUCGCUGAUUUAAAAUGCGAACCGAAUAAAUCGCGUGGCGUUUUACAGCCAGAACUCACCUUUGGCUCUGAAGGCACAUGGAUGAGUAAUGGGCCAGGAACCGCCUUCCCUCUCCAAGACUGAAGGCUGUUUAUUCUUUUUUCCCCCUCUGCCCCCGACCGGGGUAAGAUAAAUAUUCAAUUUACAUACGGUGACAUUCAUGUCACAAUUAAAAAGAUUACCCAA